GAUGAACGCUAGCGGCAGGCCUAAUACAUGCAAGUCGAGGGGUAUGGGUUGCUUGCAACCCAGAGACCGGCGCACGGGUGCGUAACGCGUAUGCAAUCUACCUUAAUCAGGGGGAUAGCCCGGAGAAAUCCGGAUUAACACCGCAUAACAUUGAGUUGUGGCAUCACAGUUCAAUCAAAUAUUUAUAGGAUUAAGAUGAGCAUGCGUGACAUUAGUUAGUUGGUGAGGUAACGGCUCACCAAGACCACGAUGUCUAGGGGAUCUGAGAGGAUGACCCCCACACUGGUACUGAGACACGGACCAGACUCCUACGGGAGGCAGCAGUAAGGAAGAUUGGUCAAUGGGCGCAAGCCUGAACCAGCCAUGCCGCGUGCAGGAAGACGGCCCUAUGGGUUGUAAACUGCUUUUGUACCGGAAUAAACCUUCUCUUGCGAGAGAAGCUGAACGUACGGUAAGAAUAAGAAUCGGCUAACUCCGUG
rnacentral:rRNA from 1 species